UGGCCUGACGCCUGCGACCCCCGGAUUCUCUCCUCAGGUCCCUCUCCCCUGGCACUCCGCUUCGGCGCCCGCUGGCCUGCACCUCGGGUUCAUCCCUCGUAUGACUCCCCCACCCCAUGGAGAUCUGGGAAGUCGGCUGUCAAGUUAGGAUGACAGGAACCCCUCUGCCGCCGCCGUCCUCACUCAGCUGGGGACACAGAGGCCUUCCCCAUUUGCCCCAGCUCUCCAGACCCUCUUGUUGAGUCUCUGAGAGCUUCAGUAACCACCUCGCCCCAGGUCUUUAUCCUAGCUGUGUCCUGACGUUCAUCUCGGCCUCAGUAACUCCACCCCGCUGCCUGGAAUCCCGGUUCUUUGAGGCUCCCCGUUUCUUUCCCGGGCUGCUUUCCGGUGUUUUCUUGAACUUUCACCUCUGAUCAGAACUGAAGCCAGAGACUUCAUGAAAUGGACGGCCUGCUCCAUAAUAGGUGUCCUAUAAGCCUUUGCUUUGUCAUCAAGCAAGUACUUUUAAUAAUAAAAGGACUUUUCAGUU